rnacentral:rRNA from 1 species
GACGAACGCUGGCGGCGUGCCUAAUACAUGCAAGUCGAGCGGACGGAUGGGAGCUUGCUCCCAGACCGUCAGCGGCGGACGGGUGAGUAACACGUGGGCAACCUGCCUGUAAGACUGGGAUAACUCCGGGAAACCGGGGCUAAUACCGGAUAACUCUUUCCCUCACAUGAGGGAAAGCUGAAAGAUGGCAUCUCGCUAUCACUUACAGAUGGGCCCGCGGCGCAUUAGCUAGUUGGUGAGGUAACGGCUCACCAAGGCGACGAUGCGUAGCCGACCUGAGAGGGUGAUCGGCCACCCUGGGACUGAGACACGGCCCAGACUCCUACGGGAGGCAGCAGUAGGGAAUCUUCCGCAAUGGACGAAAGUCUGACGGAGCAACGCCGCGUGAGUGAUGAAGGUGUUCGGAUCGUAAAACUCUGUUGUCAGGGAAGAACAAGUACCGGAGUAACUGCCGGUACCUUGACGGUACCUGACCAGAAAGCCACGGCUAACUACGUG